rnacentral:rRNA from 1 species
CAGCAGCCGCGGUAAUACGGAGGAGGCAAGCGUUGUUCGGAAUUAUUGGGCUUAAAGCGCGUGUAGGCGGAAUGAUCAGUAUCCUGUGAAAUCCCCCGGCUUAACCGGGGAAUGGCAGGGUAAACUUCCAUUCUUGAGGCAAUCAGGGGCACCUGGAACUCUAGGUGGAGCGGUGAAAUGCGUAGAUAUCUAGAGGAACGCCGGUGGCGAAAGCGAGGUGCUAGGAUUGAUCUGACGCUGAGACGCGAAAGCGUAGGGAGCGAACGGGAUUAGAUACCCCGGUAGUCUACGCCGUAAACGAUGCGCACUAGGUCCGAGAUGUCAAUUGCUUUUUGGGCCGAAGCAAAAGUGUUAAGUGCGCCGCCUGGGGAGUACGGCCGCAAGGCUAAAACUCAAAGGAAUUGACGGGGGCUCACACAAGCGGUGGAGCAUGUGGAUUAAUUCGAAGCAACGCGAAGAACCUUACCUGGGUUUGACAUGCACGGAUGCCCUUCUGGAAACAGGAGUAAGCUGCCCUUUGGGUGAAACGUGUACAGGUGCUGCAUGGCUGUCGUCAGCUCGUGCUGUGAAGUGUCGGGUUAAGUCCUAUAACGAGCGAAACCCUUAUCGUUAGUUGCCAGCGGGUCAAGCCGGGGACUCUAACGAGACUGCCGGUGUUAAACCGGAGGAAGGUGGGGAUGACGUCAAGUCAUCAUGGCCCUUAUGCCCAGGGUGUCACACGUGCUACAAUGGGAUGUACAGAGCGACGCAAGACCGCGAGGUUUAGCAAAUCGCAGAAAGCAUCCCCCAGUUCGGAUUGGAGUCUGCAACUCGACUCCAUGAAGGUGGAAUCGCUAGUAAUCGCGUAUCAGCCAUGACGCGGUGAAUAUGUUCCUGAGCCUUGUACACACCGCCCGU